AGAUUUGAUUCUGGCUCAGGGCGAACGCUGGCGGCGCGCCUAAAGCAUGCAAGUCGAACGGGCACCCUUCGGGGUGCUCAGUGGCGGACGGCUGAGUAACACGUGGGUAACCUGCCCGGAAUGGGGAAUAACUCGUGGAAACAUGGGCUAAUACCGCAUGGGGUCUGUUCUCACAAGAGGCAGACUAAAGGCACCUUCGGGUGUCGCUUCCGGAGGGGCCCGCGGCCCAUCAGCUAGUUGUGGGGUAAUGGCUCACCAAGGCGAUGACGGGUAGCUGGCCUGAGAGGGUGGUCAGCCAACUGGGACUGAGACACGGCCCAGACUCCUACGGGAGGCAGCAGCUAGGAAUCUUGCACAUGGGCGAAAGCCUGAUGCAGCGACGCCGCGUGGGCGAUGAAGUCCUUCGGGAUGUAAAGCCUUUUCGGGAGGAAGACUUCGGACGGUACUCCCGGAAUAAGCACCGGCGAACUACGUGCAGCAGCCGCGGUAAUACGUAGGGUGCAAGCGUUGCCCGGAUUUACUGGGCGUAAAGCGGUGUAGGCGGUUCGGAAAGUUGGGCGUGAAAGCCCCCGGCUCAACCGGGGGAGGCCGUCAAAACUACCGGACUCGAGGGCGGAAGAGGAAGGUGGAAUUCCCGGUGUAGCGGUGAAAUCGUAGAUAUCGGGAGGAACACCAGUGGCGAAGGCGGCCUUCUGGUCCGUUCCUGACGCUAGACACGAAGGCUAGGGGAGCGAACAGGAUUAGAUACCCCUGGUAGUCCUAGCAGUAAAGAUGGGCACUAGGUGUCGGUGGUGUUCACCCAUCGGUGCCGUAGCUAACGCGUUAAGUGCCCGC
rnacentral:rRNA from 1 species